AAGACACAGCUUUGAAGCUCAUAACAAUACAAAGGUUUAAUAGAAAGCUUGAGAUCUUUCGCGAAUCGCGGUGUUCAGACUGCGACUCUGUCAAAACCCUGUCUUAGCGAGAGCUAUAAAGUUAUAAUAGGAAAGAGUGUGUCAAAUUUCAUGCGGACCUGUUUGCUAGUAUCACGUCGUCAGAAGUCAAGUUAUUUCCAAUUUACGCAAUUUGGGAGGCUAUGCUGGAGAUUAUGACGUCGUUGCUCAAGUGUGGAACUCAGAUCUACAAAAUAUGUUUUGUAUCAACUUUACACUGACUAUACUGGACGAACUGGGACCACUGCCAAUCAGAGAUGGCUUUUCUUAACGAUACUAAGGCAUCUUUUUUAUUUACUGAGUGAAAUAUUUUUCUUUCAUUCUUUACCCACAGUGUCUGAAGCUCGUAAAUAAACAAAAUUCACUAAUGGUGUGUGCUUGUUUACUUUGUACUGUAUAUUACUUUUUACAGGCUUCCAGUAUUUGAGUUACAAUACUUAGACUAAGCUUUCAGUGACUCAAUGUUAGUAGAAUUAGAAACAAAUGAGUUUUGACUAAAUUAGAUUCAGCAUCAUUUCAGCGCCUCUGUCGGGUGAGCCUUGAUAAAAGUCUCCCUUUACUCUCCUUGUAGAUCUAGAUAGAUUUUAGCACCCCUAUGUGGCAUUAACUACUUGGCUACCAAACUGAGGGAUGUCUCAAGUUCGCAUCCCGAUGUGUUGACUAUAAAUUUUGAAAUUUGACUCCAGCUGAGUAUUGUAUUAGCUGAGCGACUAGAGGCAACAUGGAAACCUUCUCCUAGAUGAUCCCACCUCCCACAUGUCUGCAAAAGAGAUUGGACCAGAUCGCACUUAGUAUGUUAGGGGAU
rnacentral:sRNA from 1 species